CCUACGGGUGGCAGCAGUGAGGAAUAUUGGUCAAUGGACGAGAGUCUGAACCAGCCAAGUAGCGUGAAGGAUGACUGCCCUAUGGGUUGUAAACUUCUUUUAUAUGGGAAUAAAAUGUUCCACGUGUGGGAUUUUGUAUGUACCAUAUGAAUAAGGAUCGGCUAACUCCGUGCCAGCAGCCGCGGUAAUACGGAGGAUGCGAGCGUUAUCCGGAUUUAUUGGGUUUAAAGGGAGUGUAGGUGGGUUGUUAAGUCAGGUGUGAAAGUUUGCGGCUCAACCGUAAAAUUGCAGUUGAAACUGGCAGUCUUGAGUACAGGAGAGGUAGGCGGAAUUCGUGGUGUAGCGGUGAAAUGCUUAGAUAUCACGAAGAACUCCGAUUGCGAAGGCAGUUCACUGGACUGCAACUGACGCUGAGGCUCGAAAGUGUGGGUAUCAAACAGGAUUAGAUACCCUUGUAGUC
rnacentral:rRNA from 1 species